UAAUACGAAGGGGGCUAGCGUUGCUCGGAAUUACUGGGCGUAAAGGGAGCGUAGGCGGGUUAUCAAGUUGGAGGUGAAAGCCCAGGGCUCAACCUUGGAAUUGCCUUCAAAACUGGUAACCUAGAGUAUGGAAGAGGUAAGUGGAACUCCGAGUGUAGAGGUGAAAUUCGUAGAUAUUCGGAAGAACACCAGUGGCGAAGGCGACUUACUGGUCCAUGACUGACGCUGAGGCUCGAAAGCGUGGGGAGCAAACAGG
rnacentral:rRNA from 1 species